rnacentral:rRNA from 1 species
GAUGAACGCUGGCGGCGUGCUUAACACAUGCAAGUCGAACGAAGCACUUUCAUGGAUCCCUUUCGGGGGUGAAGUGAAAGUGACUGAGUGGCGGACGGGUGAGUAACGCGUGGGUAACCUGCCUCAUACAGGGGGAUAACAGUUGGAAACGACUGCUAAUACCGCAUAAGCGCACAGCUUCGCAUGAAGUGGUGUGAAAAGAUUUAUCAGUAUGAGAUGGACCCGCGUCUGAUUAGCUAGUUGGUGAGGUAACGGCCCACCAAGGCGACGAUCAGUAGCCGGCUUGAGAGAGUGAACGGCCACAUUGGGACUGAGACACGGCCCAAACUCCUACGGGAGGCAGCAGUGGGGAAUAUUGCACAAUGGGCGAAAGCCUGAUGCAGCGACGCCGCGUGAGUGAAGAAGUAUUUCGGUAUGUAAAGCUCUAUCAGCAGGGACGAUAAUGACGGUACCUGACUAAGAAGCCCCGGCUAACUACGUG